rnacentral:rRNA from 1 species
UAUAUUACGGUAGGGGAGCAUUCCAGCGGCAGCGAAGCUAUGACGUAAGUUGUGGUGGAGCUUCUGGAAAAGCAAAUGUAGGCAUAAGUAACGAUAAGGCAGGCGAGAAACCUGCCCGCCGAAAGGAUAAGGUUUCCUGAUCAACGCUAAUCGGAUCAGGGUUAGUCGGGGCCUAAGGAGAACCCGAAGGGGAAAUUCGAUGGACAACUGGUUAAUAUUCCAGUACUUUUUAUAACUGCGAUGUGGGGACGGAGUAGUGACACUGCCGCGAUCUGACGGAAUAGAUCGUUAAAGACUGUAGGUAUAGGAGAGGUAGGCAAAUCCGCCACUCUUGCUGAACGUCGAUAGUACCGCAAACCUUCGGGUGAGUGGAUAGCGCAGGUAAUCAGACUUCCAAGAAAAACCGCUAAGCUUCAGGUUAUAAAAACCCGUACCGCAAACCGACACAGGCAUCCGGGAAGAGAAUUCUAAGGCGCUCGAGUGAAUCAUGGCUAAGGAACUCGGCAAAAUGGCCCUGUAACUUCGGGAGAAGGGGCGCUGACAGCAAUGUCAGCCGCAGUGAAAAGGCCCAGGCGACUGUUUAACAAAAACACAUGGCUUUGCAAAAUCGAAAGAUGAAGUAUAAGGCCUGACACCUGCCCGGUGCUGGAAGGUUAAGAGGGGAUGUUAGUCGCAAGGCGAAGCAUUGAAUUGAAGCCCCAGUAAACGGCGGCCGUAACUAUAACGGUCCUAAGGUAGCGAAAUUCCUUGUCGGGUAAGUUCCGACCUGCACGAAUGGUGUAACGAUCUGGGCGCUGUCUCAGCCAUGAGCUCGGUGAAAUUGUGGUCCCGGUGAAGACGCCGGGUACCCGCAACGGGACGGAAAGACCCCAUGCACCUUCACUACAAUUUAACAUUGACAUUGGAUACAGGAUGUGUAGGAUAGGUGGGAGACUAUGAAGUGGCGUCGCUAGGCGUCGUGGAGUCAACGUUGAAAUACCACCCUUUCUGUAUUCGGUGUCUAACCCCUAAAGGGGGACAUUGUUUGAUGGGUAGUUUGACUGGGGUGGUCGCCUCCAAAAAGGUAACGGAGGCUUUCAAAGGUAAGCUCAAUACGCUUGGUAACCGUAUGAGGAGUGCAAUAGCAUAAGCUUGCUUGACUGUGAGGCAGACAAGCCGAGCAGGGUCGAAAGACGGAUAUAGUGAUCCGGUGGUUCUGCAUGGAAGGGCCAUCGCUCAAAGGAUAAAAGGUACGCAGGGAUAACAGGCUGAUCUCCCCCAAGAGCUCAUAUCGACGGGGAGGUUUGGCACCUCGAUGUCGGCUCGUCACAUCCUGGGGCUGGAGAAGGUCCCAAGGGUUCGGCUGUUCGCCGAUUAAAGUGGCACGCGAGCUGGGUUCAGAACGUCGCGAGACAGUUCGGUCCCUAUCUGUUGCGGGCGUAGGAAUUUUGAGUGGGGCUGACCUUAGUACGAGAGGACCGGGUUGGACCAACCUCUAGUGAAUCUGUUGUUCCGCCAGGGGCAUUGCAGAGUAGCUACGUUGGGAAUAGAUAAGCGCUGAAAGCAUCUAAGUGCGAAACUAGCCACGAGAUGAGAAUUCCAUAUAGGACCGUAGCAGACUACUACGUUGAUAGGUUACAGAUGUAAAGGUGGUGACAUCAUAGUCGAGUAAUACUAAUCAUCU